AAUAUGACAGUGGGUGACGAAAUUGAAUUUGAAUGGCCCACAGAUUGUGCGCAACCAGACUUGAAAGAGAAAAAGAUCUAUUACGUUAUAGGAAAGGACGGGACAGCUUUCAAUGACGCGGGAGGGACCAGUUUGAAGUAUGAACUGUCGGGCACGGCGCUUGUCAUCGAUCCAGCGUACAAACCCGUGUUACAGAUUGUAAUGAACAAUUUUGUUGAGGAGCUGAAGACCUACAGCGGAUGCAAACAUUAGACGUUGUGACUCCAAUAUUGGGCCACGCUCGCGUCGACGCACUAGAAGUGACGCACACGCCCACGUGUUGUGUUGUGUUGUGUUUGACUAGAUAGGCAUAGUUUUUCACAAACAGAGUUUGAUGUUCCCUUUUAAUUUAGGCAUCAUUUGUGCCGUACAGUAUGCUUGUUAGCACAUGUUCGUAUUAAUAAUGGUCUUAAGCCUACAUGAAGAUACUUAAAAGCAAUCAAUCCCGAAUAUGAUUUAAUUGUUCUAACUUAAUCAAGCUGUAGUAUUGUGUUCAAUUAAAUAAAUACAGAUACUUGUUGGAUCUGAGAAUUCAUCUGAUAAGUGGGCAGAUUCAAGAUUUAUUAUUAAUAAAAGCUUUAAAAAUGUAAUGGUCUAACAGCACCUAAAUGUUGAAUCUAACUCGAUGAUAUCCACCAUUUUAUAAAAAAUAAAAACAAUUUGGAAAUGUCAUAACAUAGUUUUAAAGAAGGUCUUCGCUUAUAGGAAAUAUACCAUUAAGAUCGGAAAGAAAGCAGACCGAUUUGCGAAAACUGUCCUGCGUAAGAACAGGAGAACUGAUGUAAAAUUAACAAUUAACAUUAAUGUAGCAUCUCUACUUUAUGUGCUAAAAGGGAGAAUGAUAAUGUGGAUUUUUGAAUAUAAUAAUUCAUGCGAUGGAGCUGUAUAUUAGAAUAUGUAAGCUUGUAAUUGGUUGCUUAAUGAAAAGUUGCGUAUAGGCCAAUCUUCCGAUAACACACAAUAUUGCAAAGUUUGACGCGCAUGCUACUUUCGUAGCAUAGUUGUGAUUGUAUAAAGUGAAAGCAAAUGUAAUUGAUAUAUAUUAUAUGACUCUGUUAUGAAAAUAUUGCAUGAAUAAACGUUUGCUAGCUU